ACGUUUCUUUUUUCUCUCUGGCCGUCUCGCGUUCUCUCUCUUUACUUCUCUGCUGCGUUCUUUUAAUUCUGCUCCUUCUCAUCGUUCUUGGCCGAUCUUCACCUCAUCUUCAUACAAAUCUCAGAAUAGGCAAAUUCAAAUUGCAAAUCCAGCCACUUGCUUCGAUUUUUCCCCAAUGGAAACCCAUGUGAAAAUUUCCCAUUGAAGAAAAACAAAGAAGAGAGGUCAGAAAUCAACAUGAACAGAGACAGUUCUCUUAAAGCAACUUCAAAAUUUUCUGAGCAAAGUCAACUUCCUGUUAUAAAUGGUAAAGGUAAUGGUCAAUUGAUGUAUAAAAAGAAAGGGUCGAAGAAGACGCAACAUGAUUCAAGUGUUAAAAAUGGGAAGCCAUCAAGUGUGUUCAAGAGGAGAGUAUUUUGCUUCUCAAAAUCCUUUUCUGAGAAUAGGCAUUUGCACCCAUGAAUGGAGGAACUGCUUUUGAGUUACCUGAUACAAACUCCUGAAGGCAACCAUUUGAUGCUCAGAGAUACUUUUCACAUUGUGAAAGUGAUUGACAGGACUGUGUAUACCUAAAUAGAGAAAAGGAGCAAGUUGAGACAAUUUUCCUUCAAUUUUUCUCACUCUAUUACUGCUGGUGUCAAUGCUUCAGCCAAGACAGCAGCUGGAGCCUGCCCCAUUACUGUAGUCGAAUAGCCAUAGCUUUUCUUCUUUUCUUUGUUGGACGUAUGUGUAAUUAGGUGUCAUAGCUCUUUUUUUUCUUUUUUCUUUUUUUUGAUGGGUCUUCUUCUUUUCUCUUUUGGAAGUAUGUGGAAUUAUAUUUUUUUGGGGUAGCUAGGGGGGUGAAAUCUAAUUGAAAACAAAAUGUUCUCAGUGAAAAAGAGAGAAGUAUUAUGACAUGUAAACUUUUUUUUAGUUGAGAAGAAAAAUGAGAAUGUAGUAAAUGUAAUAAUGUGCGAAUUUA